UACAGAGGGUGCGAGCGUUGAUCGGAAUUACUGGGCGUAAAGCGCACGCAGGCGGCUUUCUAAGUCAGGGGUGAAAUCCUGGAGCUCAACUCCAGAACUGCCUUUGAUACUGGAGAGCUUGAGUCCGGGAGAGGUGAGUGGAACUCCGAGUGUAGAGGUGAAAUUCGUAGAUAUUCGGAAGAACACCAGUGGCGAAGGCGGCUCACUGGCCCGGUACUGACGCUGAGGUGCGAAAGCGUGGGGAGCAAACAGG
rnacentral:rRNA from 1 species